rnacentral:rRNA from 1 species
CAACUUUCAGCAACGGAUCUCUUGGCUCUCGCAUCGAUGAAGAGCGCAGCGAAAUGCGAUAAGUAAUGCGAAUUUCAGAAUUCAGUGAAUCAUCGAAUCUUUGGACGCACCUUGCGCUCCUUGGUAUUCCGAGGAGCAUGCCUGUUUGAGUGUCAUUA